UACGUAGGGUGCAAGCGUUGUCCGGAAUUAUUGGGCGUAAAGGGCUCGUAGGCGGUUUGUCGCGUCGGGAGUGAAAACACCGGGCUUAACUCGGUGCUUGCUUUCGAUACGGGCAGACUAGAGGCAUGCAGGGGAGAACGGAAUUCCUGGUGUAGCGGUGAAAUGCGUAGAUAUCUGGAGGAACACCGGUGGCGAAGGCGGCAUCCUGGACCAAUUCUGACGCUGAGGAGCGAAAGCCAGGGGAGCAAACGGG
rnacentral:rRNA from 1 species